GUCGGGGGAAGUGGCGUGUGCUUCUUGUCCCAGUUACGCGGGAGACUGAGGUGGGAAGAUCACUUGAGCCCAGGAGUUCUGGGCUGUAGUGCGCUAUGCCAAUCAGGUGUCUGCACUAAGUUCAGCAUCAGUAUGGUGACCUCCUGAGAGCGGGGCACCACCAGGUUGCCUAAGGAGGGGUGAACUGGCCCAGAUUGGAAAUGGAGCAGGUCAAAACUCUCAUGCUGAUCAGUAGCGGGAUUGUGCCUGUGAAUAGUCACUGCACUCCAGCCUGGGCAAUAUAGUGAGACCCUUCUCUA
ensembl:misc_RNA Metazoa_SRP Metazoan signal recognition particle RNA